GUUGUUGGGUAGGGGAGCGUUCUGUAAGCCUGUGAAGGUGGCCUGUGAGGGUUGCUGGAGGUAUCAGAAGUGCGAAUGCUGACAUAAGUAACGAUAAAGCGGGUGAAAAGCCCGCUCGCCGGAAGACCAAGGGUUCCUGUCCAACGUUAAUCGGGGCAGGGUGAGUCGACCCCUAAGGCGAGGCCGAAAGGCGUAGUCGAUGGGAAACGGGUUAAUAUUCCCGUACUUGGUGUUACUGCGAAGGGGGGACGGAGAAGGCUAUGUUGGCCGGGCGACGGUUGUCCCGGUUUAAGCGUGUAGGUGUGUGUUCCAGGUAAAUCCGGUUCACUUUAACACUGAGGCGUGAUGACGAGGCACUACGGUGCUGAAGCAACAAAUGCCCUGCUUCCAGGAAAAGCCUCUAAGCAUCAGGUAACAUCAAAUCGUACCCCAAACCGACACAGGUGGUCAGGUAGAGAAUACCAAGGCGCUUGAGAGAACUCGGGUGAAGGAACUAGGCAAAAUGGUGCCGUAACUUCGGGAGAAGGCACGCUGACACGUAGGUGAAGUGAUUUACUCACGGAGCUGAAGUCAGUCGAAGAUACCAGCUGGCUGCAACUGUUUAUUAAAAACACAGCACUGUGCAAACACGAAAGUGGACGUAUACGGUGUGACGCCUGCCCGGUGCCGGAAGGUUAAUUGAUGGGGUCAGCGCAAGCGAAGCUCCUGAUCGAAGCCCCGGUAAACGGCGGCCGUAACUAUAACGGUCCUAAGGUAGCGAAAUUCCUUGUCGGGUAAGUUCCGACCUGCACGAAUGGCGUAAUGAUGGCCAGGCUGUCUCCACCCGAGACUCAGUGAAAUUGAACUCGCUGUGAAGAUGCAGUGUACCCGCGGCAAGACGGAAAGACCCCGUGAACCUUUACUAUAGCUUGACACUGAACAUUGAGCCUUGAUGUGUAGGAUAGGUGGGAGGCUUUGAAGCGUGGACGCCAGUCUGCGUGGAGCCGACCUUGAAAUACCACCCUUUAAUGUUUGAUGUUCUAACGUGGACCCGUAUCCGGGUUGCGGACAGUGUCUGGUGGGUAGUUUGACUGGGGCGGUCUCCUCCUAAAGAGUAACGGAGGAGCACGAAGGUUGGCUAAUCCUGGUCGGACAUCAGGAGGUUAGUGCAAUGGCAUAAGCCAGCUUGACUGCGAGCGUGACGGCGCGAGCAGGUGCGAAAGCAGGUCAUAGUGAUCCGGUGGUUCUGAAUGGAAGGGCCAUCGCUCAACGGAUAAAAGGUACUCCGGGGAUAACAGGCUGAUACCGCCCAAGAGUUCAUAUCGACGGCGGUGUUUGGCACCUCGAUGUCGGCUCAUCACAUCCUGGGGCUGAAGUAGGUCCCAAGGGUAUGGCUGUUCGCCAUUUAAAGUGGUACGCGAGCUGGGUUUAGAACGUCGUGAGACAGUUCGGUCCCUAUCUGCCGUGGGCGCUGGAGAACUGAGGGGGGCUGCUCCUAGUACGAGAGGACCGGAGUGGACGCAUCACUGGUGUUCGGGUUGUCAUGCCAAUGGCACUGCCCGGUAGCUAAAUGCGGAAGAGAUAAGUGCUGAAAGCAUCUAAGCACGAAACUUGCCCCGAGAUGAGUUCUCCCUGAGACUUAGAGUCUCCUGAAGGAACGUUGAAGACGACGACGUUGAUAGGCCG
rnacentral:rRNA from 1 species